AUAACUUUAAGAAAAAAUCUAACCGAUUUUAAAUUUUUGAAAAAUAAAUACUGCUUGUAUUGUACUUUGAAAAUGGGAACUUCCGUCAAUUUCUUUUCGUUGACGAGCUUAUACGUUUAUUGAAGCAUGGCAUGCAAUCGAUUUUUGUUAAUAAUUUUCCAUUUUAGUAUUUCUUCAAUAAAAUGAGUAUUGUGUACAUAGUAAACUAAUUGCACACAUAUCGGUCGACACGCUAUUUCAUAAACGGAAUGUAGUACGAAAAUAAUAGCUAUUUUGAUUAAAACCCUCUUGAGUUUCAAUACAAAUGUAAAUGUUGCGUUAUAUGAACCCAAAGUUUAAAGUUCAAAGUCAAAGGCAGUAAUGAAUCAUAGAUUCAAAUGAACUUGAGCUUACUCUUGCAUUCCUGUUGACCUACCUAGUCAAAUUUCCCAUUAUGUAUAAAGGUUACGAAUUUGUUACCUUCUAAUCUGC